rnacentral:rRNA from 1 species
AAUCUUGCACAAUGGAGGAAACUCUGAUGCAGCGAUGCCGCGUGAGUGAAGAAGGCCCUUGGGUUGUAAAGCUCUUUCGUCGGGGAAGAAAAUGACUGUACCCGAAUAAGAAGGUCCGGCUAACUUCGUGCCAGCAGCCGCGGUAAUACGAAGGGACCUAGCGUAGUUCGGAAUUACUGGGCUUAAAGAGUUCGUAGGUGGUUAAAAAAGUUGGUGGUGAAAGCCCAGAGCUUAACUCUGGAACUGCCAUCAAAACUUUUUAGCUAGAGUUUGAUAGAGGAAAGCAGAAUUUCUAGUGUAGAGGUGAAAUUCGUAGAUAUUAGAAAGAAUACCGAUUGCGAAGGCAGCUUUCUGGAUCAUUACUGACACUGAGGAACGAAAGCAUGGGUAGCGAAGAGGAUUAGAUACCCUCGUAGUCCAUGCCGUAAACGAUGUGUGUUAGAUGUUGGAAAUUUAUUUUCAGUAUCACAGCGAAAGCAAUAAACACACCGCCUGGGGAGUACGACCGCAAGGUUAAAACUCAAAUGAAUUGACGGGGACCCGCACAAGUAGUGGAGCAUGUGGUUUAAUUCGAAGAUACGCGCAGAACCUUACCAACACUUGACAUGUUCGUCGCGACUCUAAGAGAUUAGAGUUUUCGGUUCGGCCGGACGAAACACAGGUGCUGCAUGGCUGUCGUCAGCUCGUGUCGUGAGAUGUUGGGUUAAGUCCCGCAACGAGCGCAACCCUUACUUUUAGUUGCCAUCAUUUAGUUGGGCACUCUGAAAGAACUGCCAGUGAUAAGCUGGAGGAAGGUGGGGAUGACGUCAAGUCCUCAUGGCCCUUACGUGUUGGGCUACACACGUGCUACAAUGGCAUUUACAAUAGGAAGCAAGAUGGCGACAUCAAGCAAAUCCUAAAAAAAUGCCUCAGUUCGGAUUGUACU